ACUCUAAAAAGAUAGCCAAAGUCACAGCAGUGUUCACGCGGUUUCAUUGUAAAGACGUGCCAAAAUACUUAAGAGGCACUAUUUUUCUACCUAGGUCACCCAUCUUUGAGAAUACCGACAGCCCGCCCUCACUUCGACGCUCCCCAUCCAUUAUUAAAAAAAAAUAAAUAAAUAAAUUUAAACAUGUCUGCUGUGCCUUUCAUGCAAACCUAUAAACAGUCACAUCUUCCCCGCAGCGACGCCCAGGUCUGAGUCCCACAAGCAGCGAGACUGCAGACUGCGGCGCUGGCUGGGGCCACUCCUCCCGCGACACUCCGAAACUGCUCCCCUUUCCCUUGGGAUUUCUAAGGGUUCGGACCAGCUAAGACCCCUCCCUUUAAGUCCAGCCCGGGGAAGGGGAGGCGGAGAGAGCCUUGCGGAAGCAGUGCCACAGGAAAACCCCGUGUCCCCUGCCCAGCUGGCAGGAGUGGCCCUGGCGGCGCGCGCCCAGCCGCUCCCAGGUGGGUCUCUGCAGCCGGGGACAGCGCCCUGCUCCCGGGAGAGGGAGGCAGGGAGGGAGGAGGACGCAGGCCAGGCUUCGUUCGUCACGAUUCACGAGGGAGGGUGGGAAAGAGGGAGGGAUUGGAGACAGAAAGAAAGGGGGGGGGGAGCGGAAUUGAGAGCUCUGGAUAUGCAGAAGGCAAGGAAAGGAGACGGUACAAAAACACACCCGAGGCGCUUGCUGUUGUACCAUUUAUCUAUCAGUCACUAAUGAAUAUUAUUCUCCCAUAACUAUGUAUAAGCUAUGUAUAUGAAUUACUAUGGAUAUUCUGUAUACUGGAGCUGCACUCGUGCACAAGACAUGGAACAAAUCCAGUAGUUUCCAAAGUCCAAAUCUAAUUAGGAAAUACUACAGAAUCAACUCUGGACUCAGCAUCUCCUUCCUCCUGUCUACAUGGUCACAUACUGGUUUUCGAGGUUCCAUCUUUGCUAAUGAAGAAGGUUGCUUUGGAAAUACAGAACAAGAGUAGGAGACGUACCUCAGAGGUGGAGCACUUGCUUGUUAUAUGCAAGGUCUCCACUUUGAUCCCUGAUGGUGGAAAAUAAAAUAAAGUGCAAAGAAAAAAUGAACAAGUCCAACUAACUUAAAAAUCACAAAGGAUGGGGCUGGAGAGAUGGCUCAGUGGUUAAGAGCACUGGCUGUUCUUCCAGAGGUCCUCAGUUAAAGUCUUAGCAUUCACAUGACAGCUCACAAUUGUCUGUGACUGUAUCUAGUAGGACCAAAUGCCCUCUUCUGAUGUGCAUACAUGCCAACAGAAUACCCACAUACAUAAAAUACAUGCAUGAAUAAAUCUUUUUUAAAAACAUUUUUAAAAGGAAAAAUCACAAAGGAGCCAGGUGUGGUAACACAUACCUUUAGUCCUAGCACUCAGGAGACAGAAAGCUAGGGGGUCCCUGAGUUUGAGACCAGUCUGGUCUACAGAGCAAGUUUCAGAAAAGCCUGGUCUAUAGAACAAGUUGAGGGACAGCCAGGGCUACACAGAAAAUCGCUAUCUUUACAAACAAACAAGAAAGAACCACAAAGGAGGGCAUAGCAGCACAGACCUUUAAUCCCAGCACUUGGGAGGUAGAGGCAGGACAAACUCUGUGAGUUCUUGGCCAGCCUGGUCUACAUAGUGAGUUUCAGGCAAGCCAGAGCUACAUAUACCCAGUUUAAAAAAACAAAACAAAACAAAACAAAACGACAACAACAAACUCCCAAAGGCAGAGCUAUUGAGAGGGCUCAGUGGGUAAAGGCACUUGUCGUCUGGCCUUAUAUCCUAAGUUUGACCCCCUGGAAUCCAGUUAGUGCAUGGAGCAAGCAGACUCCCACACGUUCUCUGACCUCCACACACGCACAGUGGCGCUUGGUAUCAGACAUUAGGUAAAUAUAAUAAAACUUUUACAGCAGUUCUCUGGAACCAACUCCCUAAAAUUGUCUGACUUCCACAUGAGUGCCACAGAGUGUGUACAUACAUCAUACUUACGUAUACAUAUAAUAAAAAUUUUUUUAAUCAUAAAGGACUGCUAGACACGGUGGCAAACAUCCCAGUGUUUGAGAGGGUAAGGCAAGAGACUUUCUGUGAACUUCUGCCAGCCUGGGCUACAUGGUAAUCUCCUGUCUCAAAAACCUGAAACAAAUAGGCUACAAAGUAUGGCUAUGAAGUCCAUGAGUACCCCACACGUGUGGACAGCCCUGUGAUCUGGGACCCUUUCCGCAUAUCAUUCAGAAAUCAAGUGAUUUUUUUUUUUUAUAGACGAGGACCCUGGGAUUCAGAGAGGCUGUAUUGAGUAGUGGCCAAGUAGUAAUUCAAGUACUUUUUAAAACAAAUGCAUUUAUUUAUUUAUUUAUUUAUUUAAUCUAUCGAUCUAUUUACUUAGACAGGACUUACUAUGUGGCCCCGUUUGGUUUAGAAUGUGCAGAAAUCUACCUGCUUCUGCCUCCUGGUGCUGGGGUUAAAGGUGUUUGCCAUUCCUGGCUUUAGUCAUAGUUUAUGAUAAUUUGCUUUUGCUUUUUUUUUUUUUUUUGGUUUUUCAAGACAGGGUUUCUCUGUGUAGCCCUGGCUGUCCUGGAACUCACUCUGUAGACCAGGCUGGCCUCGAACUCAGAAAUCCGUCUACCUCUGCCUCCCGAGUGCUGGGCUUGAAGGCUUAGCCACCACUGCUCCCCACUCCCCAAGCAUGUAACAGGGGCCCAUGUAGCUCAGACUGGCCUUAAACUUGAUAUGUAGCUCAGGAUGACCUUCAAUCCCUCAUUCUCUCGUCACCUCUCACAAGCUGGAAACCUAGGCAUGCACCACCAUGUCUGAUUUAUGUUGUGCCAUCAGUCUACCAGCUAAGCUCAGCCUUAGUCCCUAGAAAUACAACUCUGUUAUAAUUUGAAUUCUGAGCUACUGUCUUAUACAGUACAACAAGAAAAGAAGCGAAAGCCUAAGGAAGAAUUUUCCAAGGUCGUGAAGUGAGUCAUGGUGGAACGUCAAACACUGUAUGUCCUAGUUCAAGACACCGGCACCAAGAUGAGAAGAUUUGACAACAUUCUGUCAUGAAAAAUAAAUGUUGGCAGGAUCUGGGAUUGAUGAGGCAAGGCUCCAGGCACGUCUGUGAAGGGUUCUGGUGACUCUGUUAGCCUCUGGGCAUACCCGUGGGAGGCUAUUGUGAUUAGGCUAAUUGAGGUGGGAAGACCUGCCCACAAUGGUUGGUAUCAUUCCCUAGGCUGUGAGCUGUGCCAUAAUAGGCAUUGCUUUCUGCUUCCUGACUGUGGACACGGUGUGACCAGCCACCUCAAGCUCCUACCUUCCUUCCUACCUUGCCAUAAUGGACUUGCCCUUGAACUGUAAACCAAAAAUAAAUGUUUUCUUCCUUAAA